rnacentral:rRNA from 1 species
UGGGUUAGUGGCGGACGGGUGAGUAACGCGUGGGUAACCUGCCUUACACAGGGGGAUAACACUUAGAAAUAGGUGCUAAAACCGCAUAAGCGCACAGCUUCGCAUGAAGCGGUGUGAAAAACUCCGGUGGUGUAAGAUGGACCCGCGUCUGAUUAGCUAGUUGGUAGGGUAACGGCCUACCAAGGCGACGAUCAGUAGCCGGACUGAGAGGUUGGCCGGCCACAUUGGGACUGAGAUACGGCCCAGACUCCUACGGAAGGCAGCAG